CCUCUUCAGAGUUUGAAUGGCUUGUAUGCGGGAUGAGUGUGGGAGUGUUUGGCGACUGCUUGAGUGAGUGAAAGUGUUGUUGUGUUUGUGUGAGAGAGUGUGUACUUCCUUUAAAAAAAACCUACACAGUGAUCUUAUUUGAUCUGGUCUGAGUAUGGCUCUGCUCUGACCGGAGAUGAUAGGAAACCCGCUCGCGAGCCUUCGUGGCGAUGAUCAGCAGGCACGAGUUUAACUCCAGGGCCUCCACGCUUCAUGCUGUGGUCAGAGGUGAUGAAUUGAUCAGAUAUACUAGUUCUGGGUGAGUUUGGGUUCAUCUCAAACUUCACAGUGGACGAUGAGUAUAGAGGCGAUUCUGAUCUAA
rnacentral:snoRNA from 1 species